rnacentral:rRNA from 1 species
GGCGAAGUUUGAUCCUGGCUCAGAGCGAACGCUGGCGGCAGGCUUAACACAUGCAAGUCGAGCGGGCGUAGCAAUACGUCAGCGGCAGACGGGUGAGUAACGCGUGGGAACGUACCUUUUGGUUCGGAACAACACAGGGAAACUUGUGCUAAUACCGGAUAAGCCUUUACGGGGAAAGAUUUAUCGCCGAAAGAUCGGCCCGCGUCUGAUUAGCUAGUUGGUGAGGUAAUGGCUCACCAAGGCGACGAUCAGUAGCUGGUCUGAGAGGAUGAUCAGCCACACUGGGACUGAGACACGGCCCAGACUCCUACGGGAGGCAGCAGUGGGGAAUAUUGGACAAUGGGCGCAAGCCUGAUCCAGCAAUGCCGCGUGAGUGAGGAAGGCCUUAGGGUUGUAAAGCUCUUUCACCCGCGACGAUGAUGACGGUAGCGGGAGAAGAAGCCCCGGCUAACUUCGUGCCAGCAGCCGCGGUAAUAACCUAAAUAGC